GCUUUGGGUUUUGCUACUUCCAGCCAUGAUAUAUGUAUUUCAGGAUGGUGGAGACAGUGUAGUCUGGUAGAAUCAGGUUUCUGUGUUUUCAAUUAUUGUCUCACAGUGUAGUAUGGGAUAAAUACUUUUCAAGCUGAAUCUAUAGAUGAGGAAAGUCUAGAAAAGAAUUUUAAGAGCCGUCCCUUUGUAUUGCCUGUGUCCUGGAUACGCAAUAGGUGCGUGAGGGCAAUAGGCAGAGAGCCCCUUCCCCUGGAGGAGCGGGCUGUGCUCUUUGGUGUGAGGGUGCGACUUACUUUGGCAGAGCACGAUGGUGAUGGUUAUGGCAGUGAGGAGCAGGAGGCAGGCACAAGCCAGGUUAACCCACAGGAUCAAUUUACAGCAGGAACUCAGUGUGUUCUCGUUGCUUGUUCCUGCAGGAAGAAAGGAGAGAGAGGAAGGAGGAAAGGCUCUGCUGCAGACAUGUCCCUGCGUUCUGAAAUGCCUGUAGCCAGCACAGACAUUAAUUUGGCCCCUUCUGAUCACAGAAGCACUGCAGGCAGAGCCCCUGCCUCCCCAGUGCUGGGUUACCUGGAUCUGCACCCUGUUGCAGCGUAACUGAUAGGAGAGGAUGUGAUGUCAUCAGGACCCAUUCUGUGAAGAUCUGGGGUUCAGAACUGAAUGAUUUCCGCAGAACUCCAGUACAGAUCCAGAACUAAGGCUGUUCUUUGUUAUUGUGUUGUUUUUAAUGGAUUUUCCAGCCAUGACUUCAGUUGAGAUUCAGACUGGCUGCGCUCCGUCUUGAAAUCAGAUCAGCCAUUGCAGUCUGCUGUCUAUCAGCACAAGUCCUGUGAUGUGGACUCCGGCCCCAGGCUGCAUUUCUUGACAGUGGUUCUGCCGCCUUCAGUUGCUCGUGCAUUAGUGGUCCAGUGCGGAUGUCAAAGCAUGCUGUGUUCUUACAGAGCACACAAGACGCGGGGAUGUAUUACAGCACCCAUUCCUAUGCAAUUCUGAUUCCCAACUCCGUGCAUUGCUGACACAUAGCUGACUUCUCCAGCUCUGUUCUUCUUUGCAAUUGUUCUGCAAAUGCCGCUUUGUGCAAGGCAGGCAGUCCGUGAUGUGAAACCCAUCAAAAAAGCCCCCUGUCCCAGUGGCAUGCUGAUUUUUAUCUUGUUUUCAAAGCAGAGUUUUUGUGGUUUUAUUCUACAGCCACCCGGACCUCCUCCCUGCCAAAUAGAUGUGUCAACCUUCAGGGCCUUUGCUGCUGCCUCUAGGUGACCACUCACACGUUGGUAAGUGCUGGGCUUCCUGCAGCUUUGCACAUACAGUGACGACGGUUUCCUUGGGCUGGUGUUAUUUGUGUCUUGUGUUGUUAUUUCCUGGCUCUACUGUAAUUUGUGAUGCGUUGUUGUAUUCCUGUUUUGCAAAUAACCCCCCUGUUCCUGGAUGCCAGCAACCAGGCCCUGCUGCCUGAUGGAUGUGCUGUUGUGUGAGAAAAUGGCAAAAAUUGUCUGGUUGUCCCCAGGCUCAUUUCAUUGUGCCUCAAUGGAUUUUGGUGAUUAAGUUAGUAAAGGCAGUGUGAAUCCUUGUGGAAUGGGGCAACAUAGGCUUAGUUUGA
ensembl:lncRNA